rnacentral:rRNA from 1 species
UUAAUGGAGAGUUUGAUCCUGGCUCAGGACGAACGCUGGCGGCGUGCCUAAUACAUGCAAGUCGAGCGGGGUUAUUUAGAAGCUUGCUUCUAAUUAACCUAGCGGCGGACGGGUGAGUAACACGUAGGCAACCUGCCCACAAGACAGGGAUAACUACCGGAAACGGUAGCUAAUACCCGAUACAUCCUUUUCCUGCAUGGGAGAAGGAGGAAAGGCGGAGUAAUCUGUCACUUGUGGAUGGGCCUGCGGCGCAUUAGCUAGUUGGUGGGGUAAAGGCCUACCAAGGCGACGAUGCGUAGCCGACCUGAGAGGGUGAUCGGCCACACUGGGACUGAGACACGGCCCAGACUCCUACGGGAGGCAGCAGUAGGGAAUCUUCCGCAAUGGGCGAAAGCCUGACGGAGCAACGCCGCGUGAGUGAUGAAGGUUUUCGGAUCGUAAAGCUCUGUUGCCAGGGAAGAACGUCUUGUAGAGUAACUGCUACAAGAGUGACGGUACCUGAGAAGAAAGCCCCGGCUAACUACGUGCCAGCAGCCGCGGUAAUACGUAGGGGGCAAGCGUUGUCCGGAAUUAUUGGGCGUAAAGCGCGCGCAG